GAUGAACGCUGGCUACAGGCUUAACACAUGCAAGUCGAGGGGAAACGACGGGGAAGCUUGCUUCCCCGGGCGUCGACCGGCGCACGGGUGAGUAACGCGUAUCCAACCUGCCUCUGACUGAGGGAUAACCCGUCGAAAGUCGGCCUAAUACCUCAUGGCAUCGUCUGCGGGCAUCCAACGACGAUUAAAGAUUUCAUCGGUCAGAGAUGGGGAUGCGUCUGAUUAGCUUGUUGGCGGGGUAACGGCCCACCAAGGCGACGAUCAGUAGGGGUUCUGAGAGGAAGGUCCCCCACAUUGGAACUGAGACACGGUCCAAACUCCUACGGGAGGCAGCAGUGAGGAAUAUUGGUCAAUGGGCGAGAGCCUGAACCAGCCAAGUAGCGUGCAGGAUGACGGCCCUAUGGGGUGUAAACUGCUUUUAUGCGGGGAUAAAGUGAGGGACGUGUCCUUCAUUGCAGGUACCGCAGGAAUAAGGACCGGCUAAUUCCGU
rnacentral:rRNA from 1 species